UACGAAGGGGGCUAGCGUUGCUCGGAAUCACUGGGCGUAAAGGGUGCGUAGGCGGGUUUUUAAGUCAGGGGUGAAAUCCUGGAGCUCAACUCCAGAACUGCCUUUGAUACUGGCGGUCUCGAGUCCGGGAGAGGUGAGUGGAACUGCGAGUGUAGAGGUGAAAUUCGUAGAUAUUCGCAAGAACACCAGUGGCGAAGGCGGCUCACUGGCCCGGUACUGACGCUGAGGUGCGAAAGCGUGGGGAGCAAACA
rnacentral:rRNA from 1 species